ensembl:lncRNA
UCAAGCCCUGUGCAGGCAGCCAUGCCAAGUCCAAGCCUCAUGCUUUAUGUAACGCUGCGAGGUGGAAUGCUCGGCUCUGCUCAGAAUCAAAUCCGCCUUUGUUUAACAAAACACCCACUAAUCUGUGACGUCGGAAUAUUUUCGACAACUACUUCAAUGGAAUCAGCUGCCGUCAGGACGUUACAAGUCGCACGUCCAUCUUGGAACAUGACGUGGAUGUGGGGAACUCUGCUUCUAUACGUCAGCAUCCGUACCAGGUUAAUGCUUCUGGAGUUCCCCGUGUAUUCUUGUUCCUAAGCCUGACGGGGCUGCCUUGACAUCAUCAGUGCCUGGGGAGCAGUUGAUGGGGGUUAACUGCCUUGCUGAAGUACAGAACAGCAG